ensembl:lncRNA
GGAUAGUAAAGAUGGCUGACUGAACACAUCAGUGGAGAUCAACUCAAGAUAAAAACAUAAUAUUCAAUAUCAGUAAAUUAAACUAAAUAUUAGCACUUCACAAACUGAUGGGUUAAAACCAAAACAAAUCAUAAGGCUGGAGAAAUUAGCGACAAAUAUUACGAAAACAAGCUACACCCAAACACGACGGUGAGUUAAACAGGGGAACCAAUCCUGAAAAGAAAACGCGCCUCUUCGACAGACAAAGACAAUUUAAUAUUUUCAUCACCGGGAAUGUACGAUGGCCCGAGGAGGAACAGCCUAGGAGUGUUCAGAAAGAUAAAUUCGGACCUCUUCCCCAAUACAACGUUGGCUGUUGCUGUUGCCACUUUGGCUGUGCCCUGUCUCCUGACGUGCAACCGGAAAG